rnacentral:lncRNA from 1 species
GCGAUCGUUGGUCGAGGAGGGGGAGCGGCGGUGGAGCGGCUGUCCGUCGGCGGGCGGCGUCCUCCGUCGGGGUGCCUGCAAAAAAGCCGGUGGCCGGGUCUUCCGGCGCCGGCCCUCCGAUGUUUAAGUCAGAGGGGGGCAAUUAGUGCCAAAAGGAGGAAGAAGGCAGUGUAUUUUGAGUUUUCAGUGUCCAACCCCCCCUCUGAGAAGCGAAGGUUCCCUUUUAUAAGGGGGUCGGCGUACCUGUGAUGUGAUAGGGCGAGGCCGUUUG